CCCUGCCCCCACUUCCAAACCUACUCCAUGGGGAACUCUGGGGCGGGGCCCAGACAUCAGCUUCCCCACACUGACAAGUGAUCCUGAUGUCUCAAAGUUAGCAAUGAGGAGUGCAGGUGUAACCCGGCAGCCUCUCCCAGGCAAAAUUCAGAGCGUCAUGAGCAUCAGCCAGCAGGAUUUGCAGAGGGCCUGGGGUGCACCCACUGUCCCUGUGAAUCAGUCACCGUACUUUAGACAAACGCAACAUUUAGCCAGCUAGGCCGUAGCAUUAGGCAACCCUUCUUUAGAGUGGCUUUGACAGAUGCUUCUCGUAGCAGCAAAAUGGAACAUUUUCACAUCGUAACUAACAUUUACAACUCUCGAUUUUUCUAGUUAUAAGCUGGGAUCUCUGCACAGGGCUCACUGUGCUACUCUACUCUGCCUCCGGCCUCCUGUUGAUACUCUCUAUGAGAAAAGAGAGCCAGCCAGUCACCGUGACCACAAUGUUUGCAUUCCACCAUCCCCCAGUGCAAAUGCAGUGCAUGCGGGUGGUGGGCUCACACCCCAGCAGUCACGCAGGCCUGGGACACACAGAGGCUGGAUCCCUCCCCACGAAGCAAAGGGAGUCAUGCACCGUGUGCUAUCUUCCAUAUUUACCGACUUAAUGCUUGUUCUGUGGAAGAGCCCUCUUUCUUCUAUUACUAGCUAAUUUAUAGCCAUAUGAGUAUAAACAUUUCCUGGGUUCUUUUAUCAUUCACAACUUUGUUCUGUCGGUAAUACUAUCUGUCAUUCUUUGUAGUACGGUAAGCUCUUUCAAACCCAAGAUAUCUCUAUUUCUAAAUGGAAUCUGAGAUGAAUUUUGAUAAACAUGCAUUCUGUAUCUUAAUAAAAAAGGGAUUUUCCCCCUUAACUACCUGAAUAUAUAAAUGUUUAAAAAGUUUCUGAAACCUGCCUUUGCAUUAGGUGAAAAUUCAAUGUCAAAAUAAUAUUAAAAAUACACAAAACAGUAGGAAAUUGUUUUAACCAUGAUGUGAUAAAUAAUAAAUCAGAAUGCAAGUUACUCUGCGAUUAUGGGUUUUCUCCAUUCUUUAAGCUUCUUGCCUGUUCCACAUCAGUGGAUCGACAGCCCUUUAGUUUAACAAUUAUGCACACAGGCAAUCUUGUUAGGACUUGAUAGAACGCUGUCACUGCCUUUGUCCCUGCCAUGCAAAGAUGCUACAGUAAAAGCUAUAAUGUACCCAGCUGCUGUGCGCUGAGGCAAUGUGCCCAAGCAAGAAAGUUCCAAGCAAAGUUCCAAUGGACCGAAUAUGAGUUUGCCUGCCGGAGGGUGAAGGCAGGAGAUAGAACCCAAAUAUCACUCCAUUUGUAGGUGAUUCUCCCUAAUUAUAGCUCAGACCAACUUUCAG
rnacentral:lncRNA from 1 species